AAAUUAUUAUUAUUAUAUUUGUUACAGAGGAAAAUGAGGGUUGAAUUUAUCUUGGCACUCCUCUACCCCUUCCCAUCAUACAGUAAGGACACUCAUUUUGAUAUUUUGAUUCUAACCCAACACUGGCCCUACACAACCUGUACAGAUUGGGAGGAAAAGAAACCAAGUAAUGGCUGCAA